UACGUAGGGUGCAAGCGUUGUCCGGAAUUAUUGGGCGUAAAGAGCUCGUAGGCGGUUUGUCGCGUCGAAUGUGAAAACCCGGGGCUCAACCCCGGGCCUGCAUUCGAUACGGGCAGACUAGAGUUCGGUAGGGGAGUCUGGAAUUCCUGGUGUAGCGGUGAAAAUGCGCAGAUAUCAGGAGGAACACCGGUGGCGAAGGCGGGACUCUGGGCCUGUACUGACGCUGAGGAACGAAAGCGUGGGGGAGCGAACAGG
rnacentral:rRNA from 1 species